rnacentral:rRNA from 1 species
UACGAAGGGGACUAGCGUUGUUCGGAAUCACUGGGCGUAAAGCGCACGUAGGCGGAUGUGUCAGUCAGGGGUGAAAUCCCGGGGCUCAACCCCGGAACUGCACUGGAUACUGCCCUGCUAGAGAUCUGGAGAGGAAACUGGAAUUUACGGUGUAGCAGUGAAAUGCGUAGAUAUCGUAAGGAAGGCCAGUGGCGAAGGCGAGUUUCUGGACAGAUUCUGACGCUGAGGCACGAAGGCCAGGGGAGCAAACGGG